rnacentral:rRNA from 1 species
AUUGAACGCUGGCGGCAUGCCUUACACAUGCAAGUCGAACGGUAACGCGGGGAAACCUGGCGACGAGUGGCGAACGGGUGAGUAAUGCAUCGGAACGUGCCCAGUAGUGGGGGAUAGCUCGGCGAAAGCCGGAUUAAUACCGCAUACGACCUACGGGUGAAAGCGGGGGACCGCAAGGCCUCGCGCUGUUGGAGCGGCAGAUGUCAGAUUAGGUUGUUGGUGAGGUAAAGGCUCACCAAGACGACGAUCUGUAGCUGGUCUGAGAGGACGACCAGCCACACUGGGACUGAGACACGGCCCAGACUCCUACGGGAGGCAGCAGUGGGGAAUUUUGGACAAUGGGGGCAACCCUGAUCCAGCCAUGCCGCGGGCGGGAAGAAGGCCUUCGGGUUGUAAACCGCUUUUGUCGGGGAAGAAACGCUCUGGAUUAAUACCCUGGGGUAAUGACGGUACCCGAAGAAUAAGCACCGGCUAACUACGUGCCAGCCGCCGCGGUAACAC